rnacentral:rRNA from 1 species
UGGGGAAUAUUGGGGCAAUGGGCGCAAGCCUGACCCAGCAACGCCGCGUGAAGGAAGAAGGCUUUCGGGUUGUAAACUUCUUUCUCAGGGAAGAUGAACAGACUGUACCUGAGGAAUAAGCCACGGCUAACUACGUGCCAGCAGCCGCGGUAAUACGUAGGUGGCAAGCGUUGUCCGGAUUUACUGGGUGUAAAGGGCGUGUAGGCGGGACGGCAAGUCAGGCGUGAAAACCAUGGGCUCAACCCAUGGCCUGCGUUUGAAACUGUUGUUCUUGAGUACUGGAGAGGUUGGCGGAAUUCCUAGUGUAGCGGUGAAAUGCGUAGAUAUUAGGAGGAACACCAGUGGCGAAGGCGGCCAACUGGACAGCAACUGACGCUGAGGCGCGAAAGCGUGGG